AUGGCCGACACAAAGUAGCACAGAGAGGCAGAGGUGGAAGCCUGGACUCCGACGACGCUUCCUGUCGCAUUGUAGCUGACGCGUCCAUACAGCAUGCACAGACCGCCGAAGUUACCCUGACAGAGAGAAAGACAGAGUUCCAUACAAGGGAGGGAGGAUGGAUGGGCGCGACUAGCGACUCGAUCACAAGACUCGCUUAUUACUGGCGCACAUGUUCACAUUUCCUCCAACAUUUGUAACGAAAACACACUAAAGGUGAAACCCGAACAUAACAUUUAAAACA